UGGGUAGAUUGUUUGUACCUUGAGGUUGUUCUUGUCGUUCUUCACCUUCCUCAUCUUGUUUGUCUUCAUGUUCUUCAUCAUCUUGAAUUGUUGAAUCUUUUAGAGUGAUCUCCUUCAUCCCUUCUAUAAGAGGAUCUGUAUCAUCAAAACCUUCAUUCUUCCUUGAAGGAAGAUCGUUAGUUUCAUCAAAGAUAACAUGUAUUGACUCCUCUACUACUAAGGUUCUUUUGUUAAAAACUCUAAAAGCUUUACU
rnacentral:lncRNA from 1 species